AUGGGCUUAAUGGACCAAGUAAGGGAACACACCAGCCCACAAGGGGCUGGUGCGCCCCCCAUAGGGCCAGCCACGUGGGGAGAAAGGGAAAGGAGAGGAGGAAAAGGAAAGUAUGAAGUAGGACUCCUACUUCCUUCCCCUCCCCCCUCCUUCCUUUCCCCCUUGUCCAAAUAUGGUAGGGGGGCGAAUUGGACUAGGGGCCCAAGUAGGAUUCCUCCUACUUGGGCGCGCCCUAGACUGCCUCCCUCCCUCUCCCUCCUUUAUAUACGUGGGGAGGGCACCCCUAGAACACACAUCAAUUGUUCAUAG
rnacentral:rRNA from 1 species